GGGGGAAGGCUGGAUCCUGGGCUUGUCCCGCGCCCUGUGCUCCGGGACCUGCGCUGUUGGAUUCGCGCUCCCGGGCCGGCAACCCCCU
rnacentral:pre_miRNA from 1 species